UACAGAGGUGGCAGGCGUUGUUCGGAAUUACUGGGCGUAAAGGGCGCGUAGGCGGCUUGGUCAGUCCCGUGUGAAAUCCCUCGGCUCAACUGAGGAACUGCACGGGAAACUGCCUGGCUUGAGUUCGGGAGAGGGAAGCGGAAUUCCGGGUGUAGCGGUGAAAUGCGUAGAUAUCCGGAGGGACACCGGUGGCGAAGGCGGCGGCCUGGACCGACACUGACGCUGAGGCGCGAAAGCUAGGGGAGCAAACGGG
rnacentral:rRNA from 1 species